rnacentral:rRNA from 1 species
UGCAAGUCGAGCGGACCGACGGGAGCUUGCUCCCUUAGGUCAGCGGCGGACGGGUGAGUAACACGUGGGUAACCUGCCUGUAAGACUGGGAUCACUCCGGGAAACCGGGGCUAAUACCGGAUGCUUGAUUGAACCGCAUGGUUCAAUCAUGAAAGGCGGCUUCGGCUGCCGUUUACAGAUGGACCCGCGGCGCAUUAGCUAGUUGGUGAGGUAACGGCUCACCAAGGCGACGAUGCGUAGCCGACCUGAGAGGGUGAUCGGCCACACUGGGACUGAGACACGGCCCAGACUCCUACGGGAGGCAGCAGUAGGGAAUCUUCCGCAAUGGACGAAAGUCUGACGGAGCAACGCCGCGUGAGUGAUGAAGGUUUUCGGAUCGUAAAGCUCUGUUGUUAGGGAAGAACAAGUACCGUUCGAAUAGGGCGGUACCUUGACGGUACCUAACCAGAAAGCCACGGCUAACUACGUGCCAGCAGCCGCGGUAAUACGUAGGUGGCAAGCGUUGUCCGGAAUUAUUGGGC